rnacentral:rRNA from 1 species
CAAGGAGUCUAGCAUGUGCGCGAGUCAUUGGGAAUCACUAAACCUAAAGGCGCAAUGAAAGUGAAGGUCUUCCUUGCGAAGACCGAGGGAAGACGGGCGGUUUACCCUUAAAAGUGGCCGCUCCGCAUUCCCGGGGCGUCUCGUUCUCAUUGCGAGAAGAGGCGCACCAAGAGCGUACACGCUGGGACCCGAAAGAUGGUGAACUAUGCCUGGUCAGGACGAAGUCAGGGGAAACCCUGAUGGAGGUCCGUAGCGAUUCUGACGUGCAAAUCGAUCGUCGGAACUGGGUAUAGGGGCGAAAGACUAAUCGAACCAUCUAGUAGCUGGUUCCCUCCGAAGUUUCCCUCAGGAUAGCUGGCGCUCGUUGCGCACGAGUCUCAUCCGGUAAAGCGAAUGAUUAGAGGCAUUGGGGUCGAAACGACCUCAACCUAUUCUCAAACUUUAAAUGGGUGAGAUCUCCGGCUUGCUCGAACUUAUGAAGCCGCGAGACACGGAUCAGAGUGCCAAGUGGGCCAUUUUUGGUAAGC